GCUGGGCAUGAUGGCUCAUGCCUGUAAUCCCAGCACUUUGGGAGGCAGAGGCGGGUGGAUCACCUGAGGUCAGGAGUUCAAGACCAACCUGGCCAACAUGGUGAAACCCCGUCUCUU
ensembl:misc_RNA Metazoa_SRP Metazoan signal recognition particle RNA